CCUACGGGAGGCAGCAGUGGGGAAUUUUGGACAAUGGGCGAAAGCCUGAUCCAGCAAUGCCGCGUGUGGGAAGAAGGCCUUCGGGUUGUAAACCACUUUUGUACGGAACGAAACGGUCUGCUUUAAUAAAGUGGGCUAAUGACGGUACCGUAAGAAUAAGCACCGGCUAACUACGUGCCAGCAGCCGCGGUAAUACGUAGGGUGCGAGCGUUAAUCGGAAUUACUGGGCGUAAAGCGUGCGCAGGCGGUUAUAUAAGACAGUUGUGAAAUCCCCGGGCUCAACCUGGGAAUUGCAUCUGUGACUGUAUAGCUAGAGUACGGUAGAGGGGGAUGGAAUUCCGCGUGUAGCAGUGAAAUGCGUAGAUAUGCGGAGGAACACCGAUGGCGAAGGCAAUCCCCUGGACCUGUACUGACGCUCAUGCACGAAAGCGUGGGGAGCAAACAGGAUUAGAUACCCUGGUAGUCCACGCCCUAAACGAUGUCAACUGGUUGUUGGGUGCAUUAGUACUCAGUAACGAAGCUAACGCGUGAAGUUGACCGCCUGGGGAGGUACGGCCGCGAGUAGUAACGUAAAGGUAAGUUAGUACGGCGUGAGACGUAGCCGACGGACGACGACGAGGGAGGAGG
rnacentral:rRNA from 1 species